rnacentral:lncRNA from 1 species
GAACACAUUCAGGAAGCCAAGAAUGACAACAUGUGGAUUCUCCAUAAGAGUGAGUGAACAAAGAGUGGCAAUUCCAGGAGGAAAUUGGUGCAGAAGCAGAAAUACCCUAAUGCAAGAUGGUUGUAUGUUAAUACUGGCUUAGGGUUGCUCUUGCCACACCAGUAACAUCUACUAGCACCAGACAUAUUGAGGCCACCUUAUUUAUUGUAAGCCUUCUAGAGAACUUUGUAUGAUGGGGCUAUAAAUUAAUGCCAUCUAUGAACAAAUAAACAAAUAAAGCAGAGUAGCAUUGGCUCAAUAUUGGACAGAGAAGGUUAUGUGGCAUUUUUACUGGAAUGGGGGUAGCAGUUGCAAAGGUUUACUCUGUGUUGUUCUAAAGUAUUUUUGACCACCUCAAAUAUAUUGGUGCAACCCUACUCAGUUAAUAAUCUGGAGCAAUCUUUUGUGAUUAUAGGCAGCAUAGCUGAUAGAUGCCCCCCCCCCAAGUCACUGCAGUACCAGCUGUUCCCUGCACUGUGAAGGUGACAAGCAGGAAUAGCCAACCUGGUAACCUCCCAAUGUUGUUGGACUCCAACUCCCAUCAGCCUUAGCUGUAAUGCCCAAUGGUCAGGGAUUAUGGGAGCUGUCCAACAACAUUUGGAGAGCCCUGCAUUGGUUACCCCAAUCUAUAGGAAUUUAGCCCCUAUAGUUCUUAAAAUUCCACAGAGGAAACCAUUCUUAUUCAAAACCAAUUUAAGUCUGUAAAGCAGAUAUACCCUAAGGGCCUUUUCACACAUAGUUUGAAAAUUGCUUGAAUUAUCAGCUCUAGCUCAUUACAUUCCCUUCCUCCAUAAGUAAAGAUUUCUCCUGUAGUAAAGAUUCUCUUGACCCCUCCAGCUAAAAAAGGGAAAAUGCUCUAUUACUUGCUUAGAACUAAAUCUAUACAGCUCAAAUUUGAUGGAGGGCCAGUCACCUGCUUUAGGUAAAGCAUCACAAGUGACAGCAGCAGCAUAUGAAAGUUAAAAUAUGCUUGUAAUCUACCAUCUUGCUUCAUCCUCCAUUACAUUAACAAUAGGAUUUCUGAGCAUUCAAAAAAUUUCAUUAAGCUCGUACUCACAUGCACACAAAUAGUGUAAGAAAGGCUCAAAGCACUUUAAUUAGUGUGUGCAUAAAUGUGUGGACUCCUUGCAAGUACUUAACUGCUGAUCUUGCAGUUUCCCCAUACUUUCUGAGAUAGUCUAUUAUUAGUAUGUACAUCAUGCUUUUCAUGUACAUACAGUAAAGCCUGUUUUAUUCAAUAUUAAUUAUUUAUCAUUAACAUGAAUUGACUUCAGUAGAUAGUGAUAAUGUAACUGUUUUCAUAACCUUGGUUUUGAUUGGUUAAAAGAAAGAAAUCACCAUCUAAUCAAGGAUGCUUAGCUCUGUGUUAGAUUAGUCAUUCUUUUUAUUCCUCAAGGUAACAUAAAUAAUCUCCUUUCCCCUAUUAUCUUCAUAACAACAACCUUGGAAGGUAUGUCAGGCUGACCAACUCAGGGUCACUCAGUUUUGCAAUGUGACAAAAUUAGCUCCAUCUGCAGAUAGCCAAAAUUUGCUUUCCAAAGACACAGAUUUCUGUUUUCUGAUAAUUUUUUAGUCAAACUCCACACAGUGGCGUAGCGUGGGGGGUUCAGGGGGGGCCAGCCGCACCGGGCGCAACAUCUAGGGGGGCGCGCUCGCACUCGCAGCUCUCUGCCCCCUUAGGUUAGGGGGCGCAAAUUACUUGCCUUGCCCCGGGGGCUGACAACCCACGCUACGCCACUGACUCCACAUACCGGAAAAACAACCUAUUCAGGUUUUUCUUCUACACUGAGAUAUUACUCCAACUCCCCCCCCCAUGAGUAAAUUCUAUCUAAAUGUUUUAAACAGCAUCAGUUCUUGUACAGAGCAUGACCAACCUAUCUUCUAUCCUGAUAUCACUCUGACACAUUGGGUUCGUGUUGUUCUGUAUUGCAGAGGGCUUAUCAACAUGGUUCUUUCCUCACAAUCUUUCUUUUAUAUUUUCCGUAAAAGAUGUAGGACCAAAUUAAGCUGUACAUCUUUGAUUUACUUCCCUCUGUGAGUGGACUCGUGUAAUAUUGUGGUGGUUCAUUCAGUGUUUAGGCCACCCUAAAAAAGGGUGCCGGAACUCACCACGAACACCUCCCUCAUUCUCUUAGAAUGACCGCUCCCCGCAUAAAACGGGGGGCGCCCUUUGCUUGGACACGCGCAGCCCGUGGAUCUGGAGCGGCUCCAUCAGCAUAGGCUUGGCUUUGCCUUCCCUCAGGUGGGAUACCUGGAGGUCUCCGCCUACCUCAGUCAGAUGUCCAAUCCCACCUGGGGGAAGCGGUGCCAAGGAGACCAGGCCAGGUAGGGGAGGGAUUACCUGCCCACACAAUAGAGGGAGGAUCUUACCUGGGAAUCAAAGGCUACAUUAGAUACAACCAGCAGGCACUGACAGAUACCAUAUAAUCCUUUCUUUCAGGCUCAACCCCCAAACAUGUGUGGAUCUUCGGCCACAGCAUAGUGCAUUGGGCGGCCGCCCAUGCCGCCACCGGUCCAGCCGGAGAACAUCUGGGUCUGCAGCCAAAAGUCUCCAUUUCCUGGUUCGGACAACGUGGAAUGCGAUGGGAUGCCCUGCUGCCUCGGUUGCGUCACAAGCUUGCGUUCCGCCACCCGCCAAAUGCAGUUGUGCUCCACCUCGGCAAAAAUGACUUGGUCAUUCGUAAAAGCAUAAUUCUGAUCAAAACAGCGAUUGCAGACCUGGAAAGCGUACAUGCCACUCACCCCAAUAUCACGAUUCUCUGGUCAGAACUUCUGCCACACUUACAAUGGCGUGGCAACAUCAAACCCACUAGACUUAAUUACACUGUUGAAAAAAUCAAUAGGGCAGUGCGCUCUGCAACCACUCGCAUGGGAGGUCGGGUCGUGAAACACCCCAACAUUAAAGUUUACAUGAAGGAGCUAUUUAGGCCCGAUGGCGUGCACUUAUCGGACCUUGGUAACGAGCGUUGGCUGAGUGACAUCAGGCAUGGCCUGAUUGAAUGGUUGGAGGAUGGC